rnacentral:lncRNA from 1 species
CCUACUCGCCAUCGCCGUCGGGGUACUGCCCCACGGACACGCUGAAGCUGGGCGUGUGCGCCAACGUGCUGGGCCUUGUGAAGGUGGAGCUGGGCCACCCGCCGUCCGGCGAGUGCUGCAGCCUCCUCGGCGGGCUCGCCGACCUCGAGGCCGCCGUGUGCCUCUGCACGGCGCUCAAGGCCAACGUGCUCGGCAUCGUCCUCAACAUCCCCGUCAAGCUCAGCCUCCUCCUCAACUACUGCGGCAAGACCGCUCCCCAAGGCUUCAUCUGCGCUUAAAUUGAGCAUCAACGAUUGAUUGCCCCAUGCUUGAUGCAUUUUAAUUACCUGUACGUGCUUGCAUUUUGAAUAUUUUGUUU